GAAGAUUUUGUUGAUGCACCUUAUGCAGCUGCUACAAAGAGGAAAGGAUGUACUUGCCAAGCAGAAGAUUGAAGACAUUAUAGCAGGUCAUUACACAGGGAAACGACUUGCUUCAGAUAUUCUGACUCAAUUCCACAUUGUUCUCUGGGAAAGAGCAACCAAGAAUUUUGAGGUACAAAAUUAUACAGAGGCUCUCCAAUGGUACAAUUAUUCUUUAAGUUUCUUUUCUGAUGGACAACUGGAUCAGAAUCUGGCUAGACUGCAAAGAAACAGAGCAUCAUGCUACCUGCGUCUAAAUCAGCUGGAAAAGAAUGACCAGGAAGAUGCUGCCAGAAAGGCAUUUGAGUAUUUAUGUGAAUACUCCCAAGACUGUAGUCAAUUGUUAACAGCUCUCAGAAGUUUCGAACAGAGCACAAAUAGUUUGUGCAAUAGUUCCCCAGUAACCAGCAAGGGAGUCCAGGACUAGAGGACACAAUCUCAAAAGAAGGGGCGCCCAUCUGAAACAGAGAUGAGGAAGAAUUUUUCUCUGAGAUGUUUAAUUCGCCUUGUUCCAUCCAUUACAAACACAGAUGAUCAAGAAACCAGAUUCGGCAUUCAGGCACAUAAAGGAUGUGAAUUUGCAGUACAUACCCAGUAGACAGAGCAGCAAAAGUGAAACCCUGUCCAGGGUCUAGGCCCGAAACGUCAGCUUUCCUGCUCCUCUGAUGCUGCUUGGCCUGCUGUGUUCAUCCAGCUCUACAACUUGUUAUCUCAUUUAAAUGUCAGUUUGUUAAUGUGUUAAAUCCUAAUUUCUACUAAAUGACGUGUUGGCACUGAAAAUUCACUUCUACGUGUGUGGAAUCUUUUUGUCAAAUUUUGAUUAUUGUUGGUGAUUUUAUUUUAUUUUACAUUUCCCAUUUGUCUGUUAAUUCUGU